AUUGAACGCUGGCGGCAUGCUUUACACAUGCAAGUCGAACGGCAGCGCGGGCUUCGGCCUGGCGGCGAGUGGCGAACGGGUGAGUAAUACAUCGGAACGUGCCCAGUAGUGGGGGAUAGCUCGGCGAAAGCCGGAUUAAUACCGCAUACGACCUGAGGGUGAAAGCGGGGGAUCUUCGGACCUCGCGCUAUUGGAGCGGCCGAUGGCAGAUUAGCUAGUUGGUGGGGUAAAGGCCUACCAAGGCGACGAUCUGUAGCUGGUCUGAGAGGACGACCAGCCACACUGGGACUGAGACACGGCCCAGACUCCUACGGGAGGCAGCAGUGGGGAAUUUUGGACAAUGGGCGUAAGCCUGAUCCAGCAAUGCCGCGUGUGUGAUGAAGGCCUUCGGGUUGUAAAGCACUUUUGGCGGGAACGAAAAGGACUGUGCCAAUACCACGGUUCGAUGACGGUACCCGCAGAAUAAGCACCGGCUAACUACGUG
rnacentral:rRNA from 1 species